rnacentral:rRNA from 1 species
UUAAGCGACUAAGCGUACACGGUGGAUGCCCUGGCAGUCAGAGGCGAUGAAGGACGUGCUAAUCUGCGAAAAGCGUCGGUAAGGUGAUAUGAACCGUUAUAACCGGCGAUGUCCGAAUGGGGAAACCCAGUGCAAUUCGUUGCACUAUCGUUAACUGAAUACAUAGGUUAACGAGGCGAACCGGGGGAACUGAAACAUCUAAGUACCCCGAGGAAAAGAAAUCAACCGAGAUUCCCCCAGUAGCGGCGAGCGAACGGGGAGCAGCCCAGAGUCUGAAUCAGCUUGUGUGUUAGUGGAACGGUCUGGAAAGUCCGACGGUACAGGGUGAUAGUCCCGUACACCAAAAUGCACAGGCUGUGAACUCGAAGAGUAGGGCGGGACACGUGGUAUCCUGUCUGAAUAUGGGGGGACCAUCCUCCAAGGCUAAAUACUCCUGACUGACCGAUAGUGAACCAGUACCGUGAGGGAAAGGCGAAAAGAACCCCGGCGAGGGGAGUGAAAAAGAACCUGAAACCGUGUACGUACAAGCAGUGGGAGCACCUUCGGGUGUGACUGCGUACCUUUUGUAUAAUGGGUCAGCGACUUAUAUUCUGUAGCAAGGUUAACCGUAUAGGGGAGCCGCAGGGAAACCGAGUCUUAACUGGGCGUUAAGUUGCAGGGUAUAGACCCGAAACCCGGUGAUCUAGCCAUGGGCAGGUUGAAGGUUGGGUAACACUAACUGGAGGACCGAACCGACUAAUGUUGAAAAAUUAGCGGAUGACUUGUGGCUGGGGGUGAAAGGCCAAUCAAACCGGGAGAUAGCUGGUUCUCCCCGAAAGCUAUUUAGGUAGCGCCUCGUGAAUUCAUCUUCGGGGGUAGAGCACUGUUUCGGCUAGGGGGUCAUCCCGACUUACCAACCCGAUGCAAACUACGAAUACCGAAGAAUGUUAUCACGGGAGACACACGGCGGGUGCUAACGUCCGUCGUGAAGAGGGAAACAACCCAGACCGCCAGCUAAGGUCCCAAAGUCAUGGUUAAGUGGGAAACGAUGUGGGAAGGCACAGACAGCCAGGAUGUUGGCUUAGAAGCAGCCAUCAUUUAAAGAAAGCGUAAUAGCUCACUGGUCGAGUCGGCCUGCGCGGAAGAUGUAACGGGGCUAAACCAUGCACCGAAGCUGCGGCAGCGACACUAUGUGUUGUUGGGUAGGGGAGCGUUCUGUAAGCCUGCGAAGGUGACCUGUGAGGGUUGCUGGAGGUAUCAGAAGUGCGAAUGCUGACAUAAGUAACGAUAAAGCGGGUGAAAAGCCCGCUCGCCGGAAGACCAAGGGUUCCUGUCCAACGUUAAUCGGGGCAGGGUGAGUCGACCCCUAAGGCGAGGCCGAAAGGCGUAGUCGAUGGGAAACAGGUUAAUAUUCCUGUACUUGGUGUUACUGCGAAGGGGGGACGGAGAAGGCUAUGUUAGCCGGGCGACGGUUGUCCCGGUUUAAGCAUGUAGGCUGGUUGUCCAGGCAAAUCCGGAUAAUCAAGGCUGAGGUGUGAUGACGAGGCACUACGGUGCUGAAGUAACAAAUGCCCUGCUUCCAGGAAAAGCCUCUAAGCAUCAGGUAACAUCAAAUCGUACCCCAAACCGACACAGGUGGUCAGGUAGAGAAUACCAAGGCGCUUGAGAGAACUCGGGUGAAGGAACUAGGCAAAAUGGUGCCGUAACUUCGGGAGAAGGCACGCUGGUGUGUAGGUGAAGUCCCUGCGGAUGGAGCUGAGACCAGUCGAAGAUACCAGCUGGCUGCAACUGUUUAUUAAAAACACAGCACUGUGCAAACACGAAAGUGGACGUAUACGGUGUGACGCCUGCCCGGUGCCGGAAGGUUAAUUGAUGGGGUUAUCCGUAAGGAGAAGCUCUUGAUCGAAGCCCCGGUAAACGGCGGCCGUAACUAUAACGGUCCUAAGGUAGCGAAAUUCCUUGUCGGGUAAGUUCCGACCUGCACGAAUGGCGUAAUGAUGGCCAGGCUGUCUCCACCCGAGACUCAGUGAAAUUGAACUCGCUGUGAAGAUGCAGUGUACCCGCGGCAAGACGGAAAGACCCCGUGAACCUUUACUAUAGCUUGACACUGAACAUUGAGCCUUGAUGUGUAGGAUAGGUGGGAGGCUUUGAAGCGUGGACGCCAGUCUGCGUGGAGCCAACCUUGAAAUACCACCCUUUAAUGUUUGAUGUUCUAACGUUGGCCCCUGACCGGGGUUGCGGACAGUGUCUGGUGGGUAGUUUGACUGGGGCGGUCUCCUCCCAAAGCGUAACGGAGGAGCACGAAGGUUAGCUAAUCCUGGUCGGACAUCAGGAGGUUAGUGCAAUGGCAUAAGCUAGCUUGACUGCGAGCGUGACGGCGCGAGCAGGUGCGAAAGCAGGUCAUAGUGAUCCGGUGGUUCUGAAUGGAAGGGCCAUCGCUCAACGGAUAAAAGGUACUCCGGGGAUAACAGGCUGAUACCGCCCAAGAGUUCAUAUCGACGGCGGUGUUUGGCACCUCGAUGUCGGCUCAUCACAUCCUGGGGCUGAAGUAGGUCCCAAGGGUAUGGCUGUUCGCCAUUUAAAGUGGUACGCGAGCUGGGUUUAGAACGUCGUGAGACAGUUCGGUCCCUAUCUGCCGUGGGCGCUGGAGAAUUGAGGGGGGCUGC